rnacentral:rRNA from 1 species
AUACAGAGGGUGCGAGCGUUAAUCGGAAUUACUGGGCGUAAAGCGUGCGUAGGUGGUCUGUUAAGUCAGGUGUGAAAGCCCUGGGCUCAACCUAGGAACUGCAUUUGAUACUGGCAGACUAGAGUGUGGUAGAGGGUAGUGGAAUUCCCGGUGUAGCGGUGAAAUGCGUAGAUAUCGGGAGGAACAUCAGUGGCGAAGGCGGCUACCUGGACCAACACUGACACUGAGGUACGAAAGCGUGGGGAGCAAACAGGAUUAGAUACCCCGGUAGUCC